rnacentral:SRP_RNA from 1 species
GCUGGGCCUGGUGGCAUGUGCCUGUAAUCCCAGCUACUCGGGAGGCUGAGGCAGGAGAAUUGCCUGAACCCAGGAGGCGGAGGUUGCAGUGAGCCGAGGUCGUGCCAUUGCACUCCAGCCUGGGUAACGAGCGAAACUCUGUCUCAAAAACAAAAACAAAAAAUGUUCGGCAUAUAUCCNNNNNNNNNNGAGUGCAAUGGCGCGAUCUCGGCUCACCGCAACCUCCGCCUCCUGGGUUCAGGCAAUUCUCCUGCCUCAG